rnacentral:rRNA from 1 species
GACGAACGCUGGCGGCGUGCUUAACACAUGCAAGUCGAGCGGUAAGGCCCUUUCGGGGGUACACGAGCGGCGAACGGGUGAGUAACACGUGGGUGACCUGCCCUCAGCUCUGGGAUAAGCCUGGGAAACCGGGUCUAAUACCGGAUAUGACUCCAUGACGCAUGUUGUGGGGUGGAAAGCCCUGUGCGGCUGAGGAUGGGCCCGCGGCCUAUCAGCUUGUUGGUGGGGUGAUGGCCUACCAAGGCGACGACGGGUAGCCGGCCUGAGAGGGCGACCGGCCACACUGGGACUGAGACACGGCCCAGACCCCUACGGGAGGCAGCAGUGGGGAAGUCUUGCGCAAUGGGCGGAAAGCCUGACGCAGCGACGCCGCGUGAGGGAUGACGGCC